rnacentral:rRNA from 1 species
GAUGAACGCUGGCGGCGUGCCUAAUACAUGCAAGUCGAGCGAACAGACGAGGAGCUUGCUCCUCAGACGUUAGCGGCGGACGGGUGAGUAACACGUGGAUAACCUACCUAUAAGACUGGGAUAACUUCGGGAAACCGGAGCUAAUACCGGAUAAUAUAUUGAACCGCAUGGUUCAAUAGUGAAAGACGGUUUUGCUGUCACUUAUAGAUGGAUCCGCGCCGCAUUAGCUAGUUGGUAAGGUAACGGCUUACCAAGGCAACGAUGCGUAGCCGACCUGAGAGGGUGAUCGGCCACACUGGAACUGAGACACGGUCCAGACUCCUACGGGAGGCAGCAGUAGGGAAUCUUCCGCAAUGGGCGAAAGCCUGACGGAGCAACGCCGCGUGAGCGAUGAAGGUCUUCGGAUCGUAAAACUCUGUUAUUAGGGAAGAACAAAUGUGUAAGUAACUAUGCACGUCUUGACGGUACCUAAUCAGAAAGCCACGGCUAACUACGUG